UACGAAGGGUGCAAGCGUUACUCGGAAUUACUGGGCGUAAAGCGUGCGUAGGUGGUUUGUUAAGUCUGAUGUGAAAGCCCUGGGCUUAACCUGGGAACUGCGUUUGAAACUGGGAGACUUGAGUGUGGCAGAGGGGGGUGGAAUUCCACGUGUAGCAGUGAAAUGCGUAGAUAUGUGGAGGAACACCGAUGGCGAAGGCAGCCCCCUGGGUUAACACUGACGCUCAUGCACGAAAGCGUGGGGAGCAAACAGG
rnacentral:rRNA from 1 species